UACGUAGGGGGCGAGCGUUGUCCGGAUUUAUUGGGCGUAAAGAGCUCGUAGGCGGUUCAACAAGUCGGUCGUGAAAGUUCAGGGCUCAACCCUGAAAUGUCGAUCGAUACUGUUGUGACUAGGAUACGGUAGAGGUGAGUGGAAUUCCGAGUGUAGCGGUGAAAUGCGUAGAUAUUCGGAGGAACACCAAUUGCGAAGGCAGCUCACUGGACCGCUAUCGACGCUGAGGAGCGAAAGCUAGGGGAGCAAACAGG
rnacentral:rRNA from 1 species